rnacentral:misc_RNA from 1 species
GAUGAAGAACGUAGCGAAAUGCGAUAAGUAAUGUGAAUUGCAGAAUUCAGUGAAUCAUCGAAUCUUUGAACGCACAUUGCGCCCGCCAGUAUUCUGGCGGGCAUGCCUAUUCGAGCGUCAUUUCAACCAUCAAGCCCCCGGCUUGUGUUGGGGACCUGCGGCUGCCGCAGGCCCUGAAAAGCAGUGGCGGGCUCGCUGUCACACCGAGCGUAGUAGAUUUCAUCUCGCUCAGGGCGUGCUGCGGGUUCCGGCCGUUAAACCACCUUCAUAACCCAAGGUUGACCUCGGAUCAGGUAGGAAGACCCGCUGAACUUAAGCAUAUCAAUAAGCGGAGGA